AUUGAACGCUGGCGGCAGGCCUAACACAUGCAAGUCGAACGAGUGGCGGACGGGUGAGUAAUGUUUGGGAAACUGCCUUAUGGAGGGGGAUAACUACUGGAAACGGUAGCUAAUACCGCCUACCAUCGGAUGUGCCCAGGUGGGAUUAGCUAGUAGGUGGGGUAACGGCUCACCUAGGCGACGAUCCCUAGCUGGUCUGAGAGGAUGACCUGCCACAAUGGGACUGAGAAACGGUCCAGACUCCUACGGGAGGCAGCAGUGGGGAAUAUUGCACAAUGGGCGCAAGCCUGAUGCAGCCAUGCCGCGUGUAUGAAGAAGGCCUUCGGGUUGUAAAGUACUUUCAGCAGGGAGGCGUUACUCUCAGAAGAAGCACCGGCUAACUCCGUGCCAGCAGCCGCGGUAAUAC
rnacentral:rRNA from 1 species